rnacentral:rRNA from 1 species
CCUACGGGAGGCAGCAGUGAGGAAUAUUGGUCAAUGGGCGCGAGCCUGAACCAGCCAAGUAGCGUGAAGGAUGACUGCCCUACGGGUUGUAAACUUCUUUUAUAAAGGAAUAAAGUGAGGCACGUGUGCCGUUUUGUAUGUACCUUAUGAAUAAGGAUCGGCUAACUCCGUGCCAGCAGCCGCGGUAAUACGGAGGAUCCGAGCGUUAUCCGGAUGUAUUGGGUUUAAAGGGUGCGUAGGCGGCCUUUUAAGUCAGCGGUGAAAGUCUGUGGCUCAACCAUGGAAUUGCCGUUGAAACUGGGAGGCUUGAGUAUGUUUGAGGCAGGCGGAAUGCGUGGUGUAGCGGUGAAAUGCUUAGAUAUCACGCAGAACCCCGAUUGCGAAGGCAGCCUGCCAAGCCAUGACUGACGCUGAUGCACGAAAGCGUGGGGAUCAAACAGGAUUAGAUACCCUAGUAGUC